AACGAACGCUGGCGGCAUGCCUAACACAUGCAAGUCGAACGAGACCUUCGGGUCUAGCGGCGCACGGGUGCGUAACGCGUGGGAACCUGCCCUUAGGUUCGGAAUAACUCCCCGAAAGGGGUGCUAAUACCGGAUAAUGUCUUCGGACCAAAGAUUUAUCGCCUUUGGAUGGGCCCGCGUUGGAUUAGCUAGUUGGUAGGGUAAAAGCCUACCAAGGCGACGAUCCAUAGCUGGUCUGAGAGGAUGAUCAGCCACACUGGGACUGAGACACGGCCCAGACUACUACGGGAGGCAGCAGUGGGGAAUAUUGGACAAUGGGCGAAAGCCUGAUCCAGCAAUGCCGCGUGAGUGAUGAAGGCCUUAGGGUUGUAAAGCUCUUUUACCCGGGAUGAUAAUGACAGUACCGGGAGAAUAAGAUCCGGCUAACUCCGUG
rnacentral:rRNA from 1 species